UAAACUAGGAUUAGAUACCCUAUUAUUUUAAAUGUAAAUUUUAUAUAUUAAAUUAGUAAUAGUUAAGUUCUUGAAAUUUAAAAGUUUUGGCGGUAUUUUAAUCUUUUCAGAGGAACCUGUUCUGUAAUUGAUAGUCCACGAUAUUUUUUACUUUUUUUAUUAAUUUGUAUAUCGUUGUUUGGAAAAAAUUUUUUUAGAAUAAUAAUUUUUUUAAUUUAUAAUAUUUAAAUAAAUCAGAUCAAGACAUAGUUUAUAGAGGAGAAGAAAUGGGUUACAAUAAUUUUAAUUAAAUGGAUAGAGAAAUUAAAUUUUUCUUGAAGGUGGAUUUGAAAGUAAUUUUAUUUAUUUAAUAAUAUGAUUUGAGUUUUAAAAUAUGCACAUAUCGCCCGUCGCUCUUUCUUUAAAGAAAGAUAAGUCGUAACAUAGUAGAUGUACUGGAAAGUGUAUCUAGAAAGCGAAUUAGAGCUUGAGUAUAAAGCAUUUUAUUUACAUUAAAAAGUUAUUGUGAGAAUCAAUUUAAUGAAUUUAAUAGAUUAUUAAUUUUAUUGUUUAUUAAUUUUAAAUUUAAGAAUUAAGAUUUAUAUUUAGUUUUUAUUAUUAUGAUUAGAAAAAAUUAAUUUUAUAAUAGUUUAUUUUUAUUGAAAAAGAUUUUAAUAUAUAGUUUUAAUUUGUUAAAAGUAGAUUUUAAUUGUUGUACCUUGUGUAUCAGGGUUGAUUAAAUAAUUGUUAAGUAUUUAAUUUUCUCGAAAUAGGAAGAUUUAUUAAAUUAUUAUUUUUAUUGUAAAAUAAAUAUUGUUAAUUUUUUAAUAGUAAUUAGAAGUUUUUCGUUUUCUAUAUAUCUGGUUUAUUUAGAAAUGAAUUUAAUUCAAUUGUAUAAUAUAAAUUUUUUAAAUUUAUAAAAAAUUUAUUUUUAUAGUAUAUAUUUUAUGGGAUUAGCUUUAAAAUAGAUUAUUAAAAUUAUUUAUUUUUGUUAAAUUGUAGGUUUAAGAUUAUUUAUUAUUGAAAAAAUGUUAUAAUUGAUUUAAUUUAAGAUAUUAUUAAUUUAUUUAUUUUAGUUUUUUUAUAAAUAUGAAAAUUAUAAUUUUUUAAGUUUUGAAAUAAUGAUUAAAUUAGUAUAUAUUUAUGUAUUGAUUUAUUUUUAUUAAUAUUUAAUAUAAGGAAUUCGGCAAAUAUCUUUUUUCGAAUGUUUAUCAAAAACAUUUCUUUUUGUUUAUAAUAUAAAGUUUAACCUGCUCAAUGAUUAUUUAAAUAGCUGCGGUAUUUUGACCGUACAAAGGUAGCAUAAUAAUUAGUUUUUUAAUUGAAAGCUAGAAUGAAUGGUUUAACGAGAAAAAGACUGUCUUAUUUUAAUAAUUAGAAUUUAAUUUUUUAGUUAAAAAGCUAAAAUUUUUUUAAAAGACGAGAAGACCCUAUAGAUCUUUAUAUUUAUAUUUUUUAAGAAAAUUUUUGAGGUUUUUAUUUUUUAAUUUAUUAAAUGUUUUAUUGGGGUGAUAUAAAGAUUAGAUAAACUCUUUAGAUUGAUAUUAAUUAUUUUUAUUUAUUUUUGAUCCAUUAUUAAUGAUUAUAAGAACAAGUUACCUUAGGGAUAACAGCGUAAUUUUCUUAGAGAGUUCUUAUCAAUAAGAAAGAUUGCGACCUCGAUGUUGGAUUAAGAAUUAGUUUUGGUGCAAAAGUUAAAAUUUUAGGUCUGUUCGACCUUUUAAUUCUUACAUGAUCUGAGUUCAAACCGGAGA
rnacentral:rRNA from 1 species